UGGAAUGUUUCACUGUAGCCCUUCCUGUUA
rnacentral:piRNA from 1 species